GGAGAGGUGUCCGAGUGGUUGAAGGAGCACGCCUGGAAAGUGUGUAAACGGGUAACCGUUUCGCGGGUUCGAAUCCCGCUCUCUCCG
rnacentral:tRNA from 1 species